CAUGGCGGUGCGCGUUCGGAGCGAGUUCGUUUGCUCUGUGCUGUGGCCGGGGCGGGGGUCUGGGCUAUAGGCAGAUAGUGUUUAGUUCCACAAUGUUUGGGAACCUAUUUGAAGAGGAUUAUUCCAGUGUGUCAAAUAGUCAGUAUGGAAAAGGGAAGAAAUUAAAGACUAAAGGUUUGGAGCCACCUGCCCCUAGAGAACUCACCAAUUUAAGUGGAAUCAGAAAUCAGGGCGGAACCUGUUACCUCAAUUCCCUUCUUCAGACUCUUCAUUUCACACCUGAAUUCAGAGAAGCUUUAUUUUCUCUUGGUCCGGAAGAGCUCGGUUCUUUAGAGGAUAAGGAUAAACCUGAUGCAAAGGUUCGGGUCAUACCUUUGCAGUUGCAGCGCUUGUUUGCUCAGCUUCUGCUCCUGGACCAGGAGGCCGCAUCCACCACAGACCUCACUGACAGCUUUGGGUGGACCAGCGAUGAGGAAAUGAGACAACAUGAUGUGCAGGAACUGAACCGAAUUCUCUUCAGCGCUUUGGAAACUUCUUUAGUUGGGACCUCUGGUCAUGAUCUCAUUAAUCGUCUAUACCAUGGCACCAUUGUGAACCAGAUUGUUUGCAAAGAGUGUAAGAAUAUCAGUGAGAGGCAGGAAGACUUCUUGGAUCUGACAGUAGCAGUCAAAAACGUGUCUGGUUUAGAAGAUGCACUUUGGAACAUGUAUGUAGAAGAGGAAGUUUUUGACUAUGAAAACUUGUACCACUGUGGAACCUGUGACCGACUGGUUAAAGCAGCAAAGUCUGCCAAAUUGCGUAAGCUGCCUCCUUUUCUUACUAUUUCAUUACUAAGAUUUAAUUUCGAUUUUGUUAAAUGUGAACGCUACAAGGAAACUAGCUGUUAUACAUUCCCCCUUCGGAUCAAUCUCAAGCCUUUUUGUGAACAGAGUGAACUGGAUGACAUGGAGUAUAUGUAUGACCUCUUCUCUGUCAUUAUCCACAAAGGUGGCUGCUAUGGAGGUCACUACCAUGUGUACAUUAAAGAUGUUGAUCAUCUAGGAAACUGGCAAUGUCAGGAGGAGAUAAGUGAUACGGAUAUGAAUUUGAAAGCUCUUCAGAAUGAAGAAGAGGCUGAUGAUCCAGUGGUGAUUCUAAAGACAAUCUUAUUGCAGGAGGAAGCCAAUCAAAUUCCCGUUGAUCAGCUGGGCCAAAAACUCUUGAAGAAGACAGGGGUUUCUUGGAACAAGCAGUACAGGAGACAGCAUGGACCACUGAGAAAGUUCUUACAGCUCCAUCCUCAUGUGUUUCUGCUCAGCAUAGAUGAAAGUACAGUCAGUCUCCUGAGGAACCAUUUAACCCAGGCCCCGUCUGAUCUCCUAAGGAACCCUGAACAGAUUCUACAUAUACCUACUUCAGAGACCGCGGGCUUAAAUGACAACACCAGUUGCCCCCACUGGUUUGAUAUCAAUGAUUCCAAAGUCCAGCCAAUUAAAGAGAAAGAUAUCACACAGCAGUUCCAGGGUAAAGAAAGUGCCUACAUGCUGUUUUAUCGGAAAGCCAAGUUGCUGCGACCCCCUGAAGCUCGAGCCAACCCAAGAUACAGGGUUCCAUAUCAUUUGCUGAAGGAAAUGGAUGCAGCUAACAUUCAACUGCAAAUGCAAAGGGCAGAAUGUGACUCUGCAAACAAUAAUUUUGAAUUGCAUCUCCACCUGGGUCCUCAUUACCAUUUCUUCAAUGGGGCUCUUCACCCUACAGUCUCUCAGACAGAUAGUGUAUGGGAUUUGACUUUUGACAAAAGAAAAACUUUAGGAGAUCUCCGUCAGGCAAUAUUUCAGCUGUUGGAACUUUGGGAAGGCGAUAUGGUUCUCAGCAUUGCAAAGCGUGUGCCAGCAGGACUUCAUGUGUACCAUACUCUCGAUGGAGAUGAACUGACACUGUGUGAAGCUGAAAUUGCUGAUGGGGAAGACAUCUUUGUAUGGAACGGGGUAGAGGUUGGUGGAGUCCAGAUCCAGACUGGUUCUGAUUGUGAGCCUGUGCUUUUACACAUUCUUCAUCUGGAAAUGAGUGGUGACAGCUCAAAAUGUGAGCAGUUGGUGGAGUCGGCACAUGUCUUUCCAGCUAAUGCAGAAGUGGGCAGUGUGUUCACAGCCUUGGCCAUCCCAGUAGGCGUCAUCCUCAUGAACAGUGUGGAGUCUGCAGAUGAAGAAUACUGGACCGCUAUUCCCAAGGAAGACAUGAAGACAACAUUGAGAGAACAAGGUCUCAGAAAUGGAAGCUUAAUUUUGGUUCAGGAUUCAGAAAGUGAUAACAGUCUGUUGCCCAAACAAGGGAGAUGGACCAACAGUGUGAAUGAGCUCAACUGGCUCCAAGUGAAAAAUUUCUGCCAGUUAGAAUCUGAAGAGAAGCAGGUUCAGAUAGCCGUGACUAUGCACACAGUGGUGUUUGAUAUUCGAAUUAAAGCCAUAAAGGAAUUAAAAUUAAUGAAGGAACUAGCUGAGAACAGCUGUUUGAGACCCAUUGAUAGAAACGGGAAACUUCUUUGUCCAGUACCAGACACUAGCACUUUGGAGGAAGCAGAAGUGAAGAUGGGGAGUUCAUUGGGACUGUGUCUAGGAAAAGCACCCACUUCUUCUCAGCUGUUCCUGUUUUUUGCUCUGGGGACUGACAUAUAUCCUGGGACAGAGAUGGAAGUCAUAGUAGAAGAAACACUCUCAGUGAGAGAUUGUUUAAAGAUAAUGCUGGAAAAGUCAGGUCAGCAAGGAGAGAUGUGGCAUUUACGGAAAAUGGAUUGGUGCUAUGAAGCUGGCGAGCCUUUAUGUGAAGAAGAUGCAACACUGAAAGAGCUCAUGAUAUGUUCUGGGGAUACUUUGCUUUUAACUGAAGGAAGACUUCCUCCUCCGGGUUUCUUGAAGGUGCCCAUCUGGUGGUACCAGCCUGCAAGGCUGUCAGGACACUGUGAGAGUCAGGACUAUUCCACCUGUGCCUCUUCUCAAAGUAGCAGCUGGGGAGCUGCUCCCACACAAGGUGUUCCUGGCCCUGAGCCUACAGAAGUUUCUCUCCUCUACUUGGGAGAUGUGGAGAUCUCAGAAGAGGCCACAUUGGUGGAACUGAAGUCACAGGCCAUGGCUUUGCCUUUUGUUUCAAAGCUCGCUGUCCGGUCCACAGCCCUGCUUAGAGUCUGGACAGUGGAGAGCAAGCGCCCCAGCAGGCUCUUGCGCCCUGACUGGCAGCAGCUCAAGGAGUACAGGCUGGGCCAGAGAGCAGAGCUCUGCCUGGAGCUCCUUCAGAAGGAAGAGAACUUGGGCCCCCAGGAUGUGCUGCUGAGGACACGGCUACGCAUCCCUGGCGAGAGGGCCUACACCCUGGCAAUGGACCUGGUAUGGGACACCACCAGAGGAUGGACUGCUAGCUCCUUGAGGCAGAGAGUGGCUGACUUCUAUUCUCUUCCUGUGGAGAAAGUUGAAAUUGCCAAGUAUUUUCCUGAAAAGUUUGAGUGGCUUCCAAUAUCUAGCUGGAAUCAACAAGUUGCCAAAAGGAAAAAGAAGAAAAACCAAGAUACUUUGCAAGGGGGACCAUAUUACUUGAAAGAUGGAGACACUAUUGGCAUUAAGAAUCUCCUGUUUGAUGAUGAUGAUGAUUUCAGCACAAUCAGAGAUGACAUCGGGAAAGAAAACCAGAAGCAGCUCGCUCUGGGAAAAAAGAAAAGCCGGGAAGCCCUACGUGUACAGAGCAGCAGUGAUGUGUUCUCCAAUGCAGGGAUGUCCACUCAGCCCCGGGGGCCAGAAGCUUCUCUGUCCAUCCGUGUCGCGAGCUUCAGAUAGCCCCUGUAGCAGUAUGUACUGUGUUCCACAAAGAACUGUUCUGCCAGUUCUGUGACAGCCACCUUGUGGGUUUAUGGUGAACAAGCUGGUUGCCUCCUUAGCCAUUGAUUUCAAGUCCUCAGCUUUGUGACAAGCAAAGAAAUUACACUUCUAAGGCCAAACAAGUGCACCUGACCACCAGCUCUGUGACAUAGCAGUCUCAGAGCGGGCCCAUACUGUGCCAAGCAGAAUAGACUUUCCAUGCCUGGCCCAGUGGCCUCUUUCCAGUAUACUCCUGGACAGUGACGAGUUGCUCAAAGAGGACAAACCUGACAGCCCCCAACUCAACCUAUCUGCAGAGCAGCUAACAACUGUCAGCACAGGAAUGAGGACAGGAAUGUUGACUGUGGAAGAUCAAAAACCGGUUUGUUUUAUUGUACACGAAGAACUUAUUUACAACUCUCUGAUGCAGACUAUGUACAUAACAAUACAAGAGGCAUCUGCUCCAGGUGGUCACUAUAAAUUAAAAUUAUAAAUAUGAGGGGUUAUAUUUGCCCCACCUGCAGGCACAAAACCUUAACUCUUGAUUCCCCAGGGAUCCUUCCUUCUCUCCCUCUCUAGACAGGACUAUGGGCUCCAGGACUCUGAAGAAUUGCUGUGGGGUUGCAGGUAUGGUGUUUGGGACAGGGUGGUGUGAUGGGCAGAAGACGGCUGGAAUGCAGGCCUAUCUAUAUGGCCACCUGGCAGGUCCCUCCAGCACUCAGACCAGACCUCUUUUUGGUUGAGAACACUGAUUUUAAAACACCUCUCAUCCAAAUGGAAAGCUUUCUGAAGAGGUCACGGAGGACUUGAGUGUCACCUUCAGUUGCUUUUCCUCCUCUAGUACUUACCAAGUUUCAGCUGGGCUGGUACAGACUCUGACCUGUCUGAGACUAGAUGAUCCCUGCCUCCACAUUCUGGUCUAAAUUGACUUCUCAGUGGGAAAUAGAACCCCAGGUGACGAGUGACAGCUGUUUUCAUUCAGGGUUUCUUUCAUGGAAGCAGCAAGUCCACAGAUGGGGCAGAUUCUCCCAGCCCACAUCUGAUAUGUAGUGGAUGGAACUCUAGGCCUGGGGCACAACACAGCAGGACUACAGGGCUGCUCCAGACCCAACCAGAGUCCAAGCUCAGCACUUCCUUCCCAUGUCAGAAAGGGAGGCAUUGGCAGAGUUCAAGCACUGUCUUCUCUGAUAAGGACCACAACCCAGCAGCCGUCCUCCUGCCAGGGCUGAGCUAAAUCUCUUUCCAGCUAUUACACAAGUCCCUGUGGAGGACUGCCAUCUCUGAAAGUGGGUGAAAGGGUAAGUCAGUGGCUGUGAAUGCCUAGGGCAUCCCCCCCCCCUACCCCCGGAAACUGCCCACAGGAUGUAGUCUGGGACUUGGGGGAGCAUCUGCCACCAACAGCACCACCUCAUUCCUCAGAGCCAGUUCUGCUCAUCAGAUAGUAGCAGGGCAGCAGCAAUGUGAAUUAUUGUCAAAAGUCCUCACAGACAUUUCCUAGGACACAGGCCUCACUGCAGAUGAGAACUCUGGGCCACCUGAGAUGGACCCACACUGCCCCUGCCAACUAUUCAUUCUCCCGUACCAUAUGUUGUUUCCAGCACCCAGGUAGUUUGGUCUUCACAGGAGUGCUGAGCUAGUGUAAACUCACAUCUUGUCUGCCCCAGAUUGGACUGCAGCAUCCUGAGAAGACACAUGGGCUGUCCACAUGCUCACAGUCCAGAGGACAAGAGACGGGAGAACCAAGUGUCCUGAGGCCAAACCUUCUUCAAGCCUGGAAACACAGCCAUGCCACUUUCAAACCGGGAAAGUGAGCAAGUUGUUUAAAAAAAAAAAAAAAAAACAACUCA